GAUGAACGCUAGCGGGAGGCCUAACACAUGCAAGCCGAGCGGGAUUUGUUGGUUAGCUUGCUAACGAACAAUGAGAGCGGCGUACGGGUGCGUAGCACGUGUGCAACCUGCCUUUAUCUGGUGGAUAGCCGUUCGAAAGGAAGAUUAAUACCCCAUAUCAUAUUGAUUGGCAUCAGAUAAUAUUGAAAGCUCCGGCGGAUAGAGAUGGGCACGCGUAAGAUUAGCUAGUUGGUGAGGUACGGCUCACCAAGGCUGCGAUCUUUAGGGGGCCUGAGAGGGUGAUCCCCCACACUGGUACUGAGACACGGACCAGACUCCUACGGGAGGCAGCAGUGAGGAAUAUUGGACAAUGGGUGAGAGCCUGAUCCAGCCAUCCCGCGUGAAGGACUAAGGACCUAUGGUUUGUAAACUUCUUUUAUACAGGGAUAAACCUACUCUCGUGAGGGUAGCUGAAGGUACUGUAUGAAUAAGCACCGGCUAACUCCGUG
rnacentral:rRNA from 1 species